rnacentral:rRNA from 1 species
UACGUAGGUGACAAGCGUUGUCCGGAUUUACUGGGCGUAAAGAGCGCGCAGGCGGUCGUUUAAGUCGGGUGUGAAAGCCCCCGGCUCAACUGGGGAAGGUCACGCGAUACUGAUCGACUCGAAGGCAGGAGAGGGUAGUGGAAUUCCCGGUGUAGUGGUGAAAUGCGUAGAUAUCGGGAGGAACACCAGUGGCGAAGGCGACUACCUGGCCUGUUCUUGACGCUGAGGCGCGAAAGCUAGGGGAGCAAACGGG